AAAAAUAUAAUACUAAAACAUUGCUCUCCUCUCUCACAAUCUCACCAAUUUUGAAACAUCAUAUUACACAUCUACUCUUGUCACUCAGCAACCACUUACGUUUUGUCACGUGAGUUGCGAUGUCAACUUCGGGGGUGUGUGUAGGGACGCGCGCGCCGGGUAGUGAAGAACAAGAUCAGAGAGGUGAGUGUGAUGGUAUGGAGGGAGGGGAGAUUGGUGGAGUAGGAGCGCAGGGAAGGAGAUCGGAGAGGUGAAUGUGAUGACACGGUGGGGAUGGUGGUCCGGUGGUAGGCGGUGGCGCGGAAGAGACGAGAGAGUGACAAGUAAAUUAGGUUGAGUUUAUAUGUUUGCUAUACACACAAAUGGGUUUUGAGUAGGGGUGAUAUAAACCGGAUAUCCGGUUUUUCGUAUCACUAGAUUUGUAUUCCGAUUCGGUUCUGGUUUAAUCGGAUAUCCGGAUAUUCGUAUCCUUUUAAUCGAAUCGGAAAACGGAUUAUUCAGAUUUUUUUUAAAAAAAAAUAUGUAUUAUUUUCUAAUUCAACGAGUUUGUAACAUAUAAUACUAUUCUAACAUAUAUUUUAAGUUUUCUAAGAUAAAAAAGUAUAUAUGUAUUAUUUUGCAGAGUAUAUGGACAUUUACAGUGAUGAAGAAGACCCAGUAGCCUUUGGUCCUGCUUCUGUUCAUCCCAAUAACAUUAUCUAUGGGGGAUAUGCGUUUCAUGUGGACUACUAUGCUGUAGACAAUGAAGGGAUGGACACUCCUGUGGUGAUGCCGGUGUACGAAGCUGAAGUGGAGGAUUAUGUCUUGGGUGCUGGUUUUUAGUCUGCUUAUCUAGCUCUCUUAGUUGGCUAGCAGUUAUGUAGCUUUAGUUAUGUAGUUUUAGUUUCUAUCUUUAGGUUCUUUGUCUCUGUCUCUUAGCAGUAUUUCGGUUGGGUCUUCCUAGUUCUAUGUUGUCUUCCAGCUUCUCUUGUACUUUUGUCUUAUUAUCAAUGAAUGGCGUUUAAAAA
rnacentral:lncRNA from 1 species